rnacentral:rRNA from 2 species
AAACCGUUGAAAGGGAAGCGAAUGGAGUCAGCAAUUCACCCAYACCGAUUCAGCCACGUGCGCACCGGUCGCGUGCUCGAUUUCGAUCUUCCUAGACGAAACGUGCACGUUGCAGUCCGGGCAUUCGUGGCGCACUUCGKGUGGGCGAGCGUCAACGCCGGUAGAAWUACGAGUGAGAACGUUGCGAGAAGGGUAGGUCCUCACGGGCUGAUAAGUCUCGYCACCGAAUAACUCGUAGUCCACCGAGGCAGUCGCGACGCGUGCCUCCCACCCACCUGGGCAGGCUGUUGUGGUGUUAGUUGCAAUGGAUGCGCAAUGCGACGGACGGCUUCGCCUGUGCGCUCGUAACGCAAACGUUCAACGGCACGUCUAACAAACAGCACGCGUYGAGGACGUUGRCGAGCAUACGGCUUCAUCCGACCCGUCUUGAAACACGGACCAAGGAGUCUAACAUGUUCGCAAGUCACUGGGUGAUCGAAACCCGUGGGCGCAAUGAAAGUAAAGACAUACUGUCGAGAUGAGAAGCCCUCGGGYCGCAUCAUCGACCGACCUGUUCUACUUGUAGAAAGGUUUGAGUAAGAGCGUACCUGUUGGGACCCGAAAGAUGGUGAACUAUGCCUGAAUAGGGUGAAGCCAGCGGAAACACUGGUGGAAGCUCGUAGCGAUUCUGACGUGCAAAUCGAUCGUCGAAUUUGGGUAUAGCGGCGAAAGACUAAUCGAACCAUCUAGUAGCUGGUUCCCUCCGAAGUUUCCCUUAGGAUAGCUGGAACUCGGAUGCAGU